ensembl:lncRNA
AGAGGAGGAGGGCUGGAAGGGGCCAGGGGAUUUUGAGGGAUGAGGGUACAGAUGCUGGGGCUGGUUAGGAAGACUCCAGUAGGCAAGUGUGAGAUAACUAAGCUUAUGGAGAUGGCGAGUAUGAAACAGACUUACGGAAAACAACAGAGGACUGCAGAGAAGAUAUGGAGGCAAGAUUAUUUUGUGGUGGAUGUACAAUUCAGUAGGAGGCCCCAGGGCCAGGUUGUUUUAGGUAGAAACUUUUCAGGUGGAAAGGAGGAGAGGGAAGGCUAUGAUUUCCAGAGAGAGGAUGGUUUUGGAAAGCUCUCUUUGGUGGGCAGGAGGGACUUGAAAGACACAGGAAGUGUGAGAGGGCUGUUCUUUGCUUCCCAUUUCACCUCAUCUGACCAAUUCCCCUCUGUACUUUCCUGUGAGCAGCUGACUGCCUGGGAGAGAAAUGCACUUCUUUAUUCAGUUCCUAUUUCUUCUACCACGCUUCAGGUUGCAACGUGCCAUAUGCUGGGUGUAUAUUUUCUAUAUAGAGAUCCAUUCCUUCGCUGGAAAGUUUUAGGGACCUCCGGAUUACAGAAGCUUGAAAGCCACCAGUGUGGUUAUAGCCUGCUCCAUUUGUACUUCAGAGGUAUCUGUUCUGACCAAAACCUAUGUUUGAUGUGAUAUGCUUGGACGGACAAACAAAACCACAGUGAAAAUUUAACAACUAAGAGAGCCAAGAGAGACUCCUUGCAUGGGUGAGAAGGGAACUGAAAAUGCCAUUUUUCAGGGUUCAUCAGUACUGAAGGAAGACAACAGACAAGAUCUGCUAGGGGAUGGACCUAGAGGAGUGGUCUUAUAAAAUCAGUGGUUGGACCAUUGUACCUCACGACCAUCAUCUUGCUGUAUUUGCUGUCUGGUGACCCAGUUUUGAGAGAAGAAUGGAAUCACUUUCAUCACUAUUUCUUGUACCUCC